rnacentral:rRNA from 1 species
GAAAUGCGAUACUUGGUGUGAAUUGCAGAAUCCCGUGAACCAUCGAGUCUUUGAACGCAAGUUGNGCCCGAAGCCAUCCGGCCGAGGGCANGCCUGCCUGGGNGUCANGCAUNGGGUNGCCCCCCCGCCCCUCGUGGGCGUGGGGGGCGGAGAUUGGCCUCCCGUGCGCUCCCGCGCGCGGCCGGCCCAAAUGCGAUCCCCCGGCGACGCGCGUCGCGACCAGUGGUGGUUGAACGCUCGGCUCGCUUGCUGUCCGUCGCGCUCCACGUCGUCGUCCGGCCGGGCAUCACGAACGACCCUGACUGCGCCCGCGCGCGCUUUCGACCGCGACCCCAGGUCAGGCGGGAUUACCCG